AUGUGUGAUUCAAUGGUAGAAUGUCAGCUUCCCAAGCUGAAUACGCGGGUUCGAUUCCCGUCACGU
rnacentral:tRNA from 1 species